CUGCAUAGCAACAGGGGAACAUCGACUGUGUGCAGAGCCUGUUUGCAUUUUAUAGCCUCUAUCAGCUACUGCAAUCCAAGGAGUUUGGUUUAUGGCAUCUAUUAAGUUGGGAAAAUUUCAUCUACAUUUCUGGGCAGCACUUGGCAAGAAGACCUAGCUGCACUGCAAUAACAGUGAGGAAGCAGAGAGAGUAAGCCAGGACUAGCUCCAGGUCCUUGUGCACCCAUUGCUGCAGCUCCACUGAAGGGUGCCCUUCAUGGAGAAACACUGUGAAAGGCUGUGCUCGAUGUAAAUCACUGUGACGCAGACUGGCAGCAAGCUUGUGUCUGGAGAAAGGACUAAACAAUCAGAUCACAAAAUGAGAGUGGCCAGAAGCUGCUGAAUUUUCUUUCCUGGCUAAAGACACCUGAUGAGCCAGCACAGAAGCAGCUUCUCUGUCCACUCAAGAGACUCUUUGAAACAUGGAUGUGUAUGAGUUCUAGUUUAACAAAGCACUGAGUCACUCUA